rnacentral:rRNA from 1 species
AUUGAACGCUGGCGGCAUGCCUUACACAUGCAAGUCGAACGGCAGCACGGGUGCUUGCACCUGGUGGCGAGUGGCGAACGGGUGAGUAAUACAUCGGAACAUGUCCUGUAGUGGGGGAUAGCCCGGCGAAAGCCGGAUUAAUACCGCAUACGAUCUACGGAUGAAAGCGGGGGACCUGCGGGCCUCGCGCUAUAGGGUUGGCCGAUGGCUGAUUAGCUCGUUGGUGGGGGAAAGGCCUACCAAGGCGACGAUCAGUAGCUGGUCUGAGAGGACGACCAGCCACACUGGGACUGAGACACGGCCCAGACUCCUACGGGAGGCAGCAGUGGGGAAUUUUGGACAAUGGGCGAAAGCCUGAUCCAGCAAUGCCGCGUGUGUGAAGAAGGCCUUCGGGUUGUAAAGCACUUUUGUCCGGAAAGAAAUCCUUGGCCCUAAUACGGUCGGGGGAUGACGGUACCGGAAGAAUAAGCACCGGCUAACUACGU